rnacentral:rRNA from 1 species
UACAGAGGGUGCAAGCGUUGUUCGGAAUUAUUGGGCGUAAAGGGCGCGUAGGCGGUUCGGCAAGUCUCUAGUGAAAUCUCAGGGCUCAACUCUGAGUCUGCUGGGGGAACUGCCGGGCUUGAGUGUGGGAGAGGAGAGUGCAAUUCCCGGUGUAGCGGUGAAAUGCGUAGAUAUCCGGAGGAAGACCGGUGGCGAAGGCGGUCUGCUGGGCAGUUUCUGACACUGAGGCGCGACAGCGUGGGGAGCAAACAGG